rnacentral:rRNA from 1 species
GUACACUCCUGCGGGAGGCAGCAGUGGGGAAUUUUGGACAAUGGGCGAAAGCCUGAUCCAGCAAUGCCGCGUGCAGGAUGAAGGCCUUCGGGUUGUAAACUGCUUUUGUACGGAACGAAAAAGCUCCUUCUAAUACAGGGGGCCCAUGACGGUACCGUAAGAAUAAGCACCGGCUAACUACGUGCCAGCAGCCGCGGUAAUACGUAGGGUGCGAGCGUUAAUCGGAAUUACUGGGCGUAAAGCGUGCGCAGGCGGUUAUGUAAGACAGAUGUGAAAUCCCCGGGCUCAACCUGGGAACUGCAUUUGUGACUGCAUGGCUAGAGUACGGUAGAGGGGGAUGGAAUUCCGCGUGUAGCAGUGAAAUGCGUAGAUAUGCGGAGGAACACCGAUGGCGAAGGCAAUCCCCUGGACCUGUACUGACGCUCAUGCACGAAAGCGUGGGGAGCAAACAGGAUUAGAUACCCCUGUAGUCCC